rnacentral:rRNA from 1 species
AGCGAACGCUGGCGGCAGGCCUAACACAUGCAAGUCGAACGGAUCCUUCGGGAUUAGUGGCGGACGGGUGAGUAACACGUGGGAACGUGCCCUUUGGUUCGGAACAACUCAGGGAAACUUGAGCUAAUACCGGAUGUGCCCUUCGGGGGAAAGAUUUAUCGCCAUUGGAGCGGCCCGCGUCUGAUUAGCUAGUUGGUGAGGUAACGGCCCACCAAGGCGAGGAUCAGUAGCUGGUCUGAGAGGAUGAUCAGCCACACUGGGACUGAGACACGGCCCAGACUCCUACGGGAGGCAGCAGUGGGGAAUCUUGCGCAAUGGGCGAAAGCCUGACGCAGCCAUGCCGCGUGAAUGAUGAAGGUCUUAGGAUUGUAAAAUUCUUUCAGCGGGGACGAUAAUGACGGUACCCGCAGAAGAAGCUCCGGCUAACUUCGUG